AGUGAACGCUGGCGGUAGGCCUAACACAUGCAAGUCGAACGGCAGCACAGUAAGCGCUUGCUCUUACGGGUGGCGAGUGGCGGACGGGUGAGGAAUACAUCGGAAUCUACUUUUUCGUGGGGGAUAACGUAGGGACACUUACGCUAAUACCGCAUACGACCUACGGGUGAAAGCAGGGGAUCUUCGGACCUUGCGCGAUUGAAUGAGCCGAUGUCGGAUUAGCUAGUUGGCGGGGUAAAGGCCCACCAAGGCGACGAUCCGUAGCUGGUCUGAGAGGAUGAUCAGCCGCACUGGAACUGAGACACGGUCCAGACUCCUACGGGAGGCAGCAGUGGGGAAUAUUGGACAAUGGGCGCAAGCCUGAUCCAGCCAUACCGCGUGGGUGAAGAAGGCCUUCGGGUUGUAAAGCCCUGUUGUUGGGAAAGAAAAGCAGCAGGUGAAUACCCCGCUGUUCUGACGGUACCCAAAGAAUAAGCACCGGCUAACUUCGUG
rnacentral:rRNA from 1 species